AACAUCCCUAAUGCGCCUUGAAAUGAGGAACUCAAAAGUCACGUGUAAAGAAAAAAUCUCUGUGUAGUGAUAUUGGACAUGUUUCUAUUUUUAACAAAUGACUGAACUUAAUUAUUUGUGGUGAUUAGGAAAGUAGAGGAACAUAGAAUAAAUGUGUAAAAACUAUGGAGCUAUGGAAUGUGUUCAAAGUAUUAAAUUUUCAAAGAACUUAUUGUGUUAAAAAGGGGAUAUUUUACCACAAGGAGCCGCAUCACAAAAGGAUGUUCGGGGUUUGCUAAUUUACGGAAAAAGUAAUCUCACUUCGUACCCCGAAAAUUUAACCACAUAUGUGAAAAUGUCACAGCUUCGAAACGAGCUAUCAUACAUAUCCAAGUUUACGAUAUGGACUGAGCUACAGGAAAAAACGUUACCAUUAUCGCCUAUGGGAAAACAAUUAAAGAUAUUGAGCCAAUUUACAAAAAGAUAAAUCAGAAGUUUCCAGAGUGAUCUAUGGAUGAUUUCACCUUGUACACCCGGGAAAAUUGUGAAAAUGAUGUUCCAGACAUAUCAUUACUUUUUAACCUGAGAUGACAAACUAGAGGUUUUACAAGGUCCUGAAUAACUGAAAUGGACAAAAAUACACAGAUUUAUUCAGAAUGUCAUACCGAUGAAGAUCACAUAAAAAUAUUUGGAAAAAUCAAAACUAUGGAUUGCAAUUUACAAAAAGAUAAAUCAGAAGUUUCCAGAGUGAUCUAUGGAUGAUUUCACCUUGUACACCCGGGAAAAUUGUGAAAAUGAUGUUCCAGACAUAUCAUUACUUUUUAACCUGAGAUGACAAACUAGAGGUUUUACAAGGUCCUGAAUAACUGAAAUGGACAAAAAUACACAGAUUUAUUCAGAAUGUCAUACCGAUGAAGAUCACAUAAAAAUAUUUGGAAAAAUCAAAACUAUGGAUUGCAAUUUACAAAAAGAUAAAUCAGAAGUUUCCAGAGUGAUCUAUGGAUGAUUUCACCUUGUACACCCGGGAAAAUUGUGAAAAUGAUGUUCCAGACAUAUCAUUACUUUUUAACCUGAGAUGACAAACUAGAGGUUUUACAAGGUCCUGAAUAACUGAAAUGGACAAAAAUACACAGAUUUAUUCAGAAUGUCAUACCGAUGAAGAUCACAUAAAAAUAUUUGGAAAAAUCAGAACUAUGGAUUGCAAUAUGGGACAACAUCCCUAAUGCGCCUUGAAAUGAGGAACUCAAAAGUCACGUGUAAAGAAAGAAUCUCUGUGUAGUGAUAUUGGACAUGUUUCUAUUUUUAACAAAUGACUGAACUUAAUUAUUUGUGGUGAUUAGGAAAGUAGAGGAACAUAGAAUAAAUGUGUAAAAACUAUGGAGCUAUGGAAUGUGUUCAAAGUAUUAAAUUUUCAAAGAACUUAUUGUGUUAAAAAGGGGAUAUUUUACCACAAGGAGCCGCAUCACAAAAGGAUGUUCGGGGUUUGCUAAUUUACGGAAAAAGUAAUCUCACUUCGUACCCCGAAAAUUUAACCACAUAUGUGAAAAUGUCACAGCUUCGAAACGAGCUAUCAUACAUAUCCAAGUUUACGAUAUGGACUGAGCUACAGGAAAAAACGUUACCAUUAUCGCCUAUGGGAAAACAAUUAAAGAUAUUGAGCCAAUUUACAAAAAGAUAAAUCAGAAGUUUCCAGAGUGAUCUAUGGAUGAUUUCACCUUGUACACCCGGGAAAAUUGUGAAAAUGAUGUUCCAGACAUAUCAUUACUUUUUAACCUGAGAUGACAAACUAGAGGUUUUACAAGGUCCUGAAUAACUGAAAUGGACAAAAAUACACAGAUUUAUUCAGAAUGUCAUACCGAUGAAGAUCACAUAAAAAUAUUUGGAAAAAUCAGAACUAUGGAUUGCAAUAUGGGACAACAUCCCUAAUGCGCCUUGAAAUGAGGAACUCAAAAGUCACGUGUAAAGAAAAAAUCUCUGUGUAGUGAUAUUGGACAUGUUUCUAUUUUUAACAAAUGACUGAACUUAAUUAUUUGUGGUGAUUAGGAAAGUAGAGGAACAUAGAAUAAAUGUGUAAAAACUAUGGAGCUAUUGAAUGUGUUCAAAGUAUUAAAUUUUCAAAGAACUUAUUGUGUUAAAAAGGGGAUAUUUUACCACAAGGAGCCGCAUCACAAAAGGAUGUUCGGGGUUUGCUAAUUUACGGAAAAAGUAAUCUCACUUCGUACCCCGAAAAUUUAACCACAUAUGUGAAAAUGUCACAGCUUCGAAACGAGCUAUCAUACAUAUCCAAGUUUACGAUAUGGACUGAGCUACAGGAAAAAACGUUACCAUUAUCGCCUAUGGGAAAACAAUUAAAGAUAUUGAGCCAAUUUACAAAAAGAUAAAUCAGAAGUUUCCAGAGUGAUCUAUGGAUGAUUUCACCUUGUACACCCGGGAAAAUUGUGAAAAUGAUGUUCCAGACAUAUCAUUACUUUUUAACCUGAGAUGACAAACUAGAGGUUUUACAAGGUCCUGAAUAACUGAAAUGGACAAAAAUACACAGAUUUAUUCAGAAUGUCAUACCGAUGAAGAUCACAUAAAAAUAUUUGGAAAAAUCAGAACUAUGGAUUGCAAUAUGGGACAACAUCCCUAAUGCGCCUUGAAAUGAGGAACUCAAAAGUCACGUGUAAAGAAAAAAUCUCUGUGUAGUGAUAUUGGACAUGUUUCUAUUUUUAACAAAUGACUGAACUUAAUUAUUUGUGGUGAUUAGGAAAGUAGAGGAACAUAGAAUAAAUGUGUAAAAACUAUGGAGCUAUUGAAUGUGUUCAAAGUAUUAAAUUUUCAAAGAA